UACGUAGGGUACGAGCGUUAAUCGGAAUUACUGGGCGUAAAGCGUGCGCAGGCGGCUUUGCAAGACAGAUGUGAAAUCCCCGGGCUCAACCUGGGAACUGCAUUUGUGACUGCAAGGCUAGAGUACGGCAGAGGUGGAUGGAAUUCCGCGUGUAGCAGUGAAAUGCGUAGAUAUGCGGAGGAACACCAAUGGCGAAGGCAAUCCCCUGGGCCUGUACUGACGCUCAUGCACGAAAGCGUGGGGAGCAAACAGG
rnacentral:rRNA from 1 species